UACGGAGGGUGCAAGCGUUAAUCGGAAUUACUGGGCGUAAAGGGCGCGUAGGCGGUUAUUUAAGUCAGAUGUGAAAGCCCCGGGCUCAACCUGGGAACUGCAUUUGAUACUGGGUAACUUUGAAUGUGGUAGAGGGUGGCGGAAUUUCUGGUGUAGCGGUGAAAUGCGUAGAUAUCAGAAGGAACAUCAAUGGCGAAGGCAGCCACCUGGGCCAACAUUGACGCUGAGGCGCGAAAGCGUGGGGAGCAAACAGG
rnacentral:rRNA from 1 species